rnacentral:rRNA from 1 species
GACGAACGCUGGCGGCGUGCCUAAUACAUGCAAGUAGAACGCUGAAGAGAGGAGCUUGCUCUUCUUGGAUGAGUUGCGAACGGGUGAGUAACGCGUAGGUAACCUGCCUUGUAGCGGGGGAUAACUAUUGGAAACGAUAGCUAAUACCGCAUAACAAUGGAUGACCCAUGUCAUUUAUUUGAAAGGGGCAAAUGCUCCACUACAAGAUGGACCUGCGUUGUAUUAGCUAGUAGGUGAGGUAACGGCUCACCUAGGCGACGAUACAUAGCCGACCUGAGAGGGUGAUCAGCCACACUGGGACUGAGACACGGCCCAGACUCCUACGGGAGGCAGCAGUAGGGAAUCUUCGGCAAUGGGGGCAACCCUGACCGAGCAACGCCGCGUGAGUGAAGAAGGUUUUCGGAUCGUAAAGCUCUGUUGUAAGUCAAGAACGAGUGUGAGAGUGGAAAGUUCACACUGUGACGGUAGCUUACCAGAAAGGGACGGCUAACUACGUGCCGGCAGCCGCGGUAAUACGUAGGUCCCGAGCGUUGUCCGGAUUUAUUGGGCGUAAAGCGAGCGCAGGCGGUUUGAUAAGUCUGAAGUUAAAGGCUGUGGCUCAACCAUAGUUCGCUUUGGAAACUGUCAAACUUGAGUGCAGAAGGGGAGAGUGGAAUUCCAUGUGUAGCGGUGAAAUGCGUAGAUAUAUGGAGGAACACCGGUGGCGAAAGCGGCUCUCUGGUCUGUAACUGACGCUGAGGCUCGAAAGCGUGGGGAGCGAACAGG